GGAGCUUGCUCUGUGGGAUCAGUGGCGAACGGGUGAGUAACACGUGAGCAACCUGCCCCUGACUCUGGGAUAAGCGCUGGAAACGGCGUCUAAUACUGGAUAUGUGACGUGAUCGCAUGGUCUGCGUCUGGAAAGAAUUUCGGUUGGGGAUGGGCUCGCGGCCUAUCAGCUUGUUGGUGAGGUAAUGGCUCACCAAGGCGUCGACGGGUAGCCGGCCUGAGAGGGUGACCGGCCACACUGGGACUGAGACACGGCCCAGACUCCUACGGGAGGCAGCAGUGGGGAAUAUUGCACAAUGGGCGCAAGCCUGAUGCAGCAACGCCGCGUGAGGGACGACGGCCUUCGGGUUGUAAACCUCUUUUAGCAGGGAAGAAGCGAAAGUGACGGUACCUGCAGAAAAAGCGCCGGCUAACUACGUGCCAGCAGCCGCGGUAAUACGUAGGGCGCAAGCGUUAUCCGGAAUUAUUGGGCGUAAAGAGCUCGUAGGCGGUUUGUCGCGUCUGCUGUGAAAUCCGGAGGCUCAACCUCCGGCCUGCAGUGGGUACGGGCAGACUAGAGUGCGGUAGGGGAGAUUGGAAUUCCUGGUGUAGCGGUGGAAUGCGCAGAUAUCAGGAGGAACACCGAUGGCGAAGGCAGAUCUCUGGGCCGUAACUGACGCUGAGGAGCGAAAGGGUGGGGAGCAAACAGGCUUAGAUACCCUGGUAGUCCACCCCGUAAACGUUGGGAACUAGUUGUGGGGUCCAUUCCACGGAUUCCGUGACGCAGCUAACGCAUUAAGUUCCCCGCCUGGGGGAGUACGGCCGCAAGGCUAAAACUCAAAGGAAUUGACGGGGACCCGCACAAGCGGCGGAGCAUGCGGAUUAAUUCGAUGCAACGCGAAGAACCUUACCAAGGCUUGACAUAUACGAGAACGGGCCAGAAAUGGUCAACUCUUUGGACACUCGUAAACAGGUGGUGGCAUGGUUGUCGUCAGCUCGUGUCGUGAGAUGUUUGGGGUUAAGUCCCGCAACGAGCGCAACCCUCGUUCUAUGUUGC
rnacentral:rRNA from 1 species